UUGUUUAAAAUCAAUCCACUCACUUUUUGGAAAUCUUUUAGCCGAACUACGGCAUUUUGAUCCUUAUCUUUCAUGAAAAGGUACGUAGGCAAUGGGUUCAUCCAUCCAAACACGAAAAUGUAAAUAAAUUUGUAUAUUCUUCUCUCAUCCCUUCAAUCAUGUUUGCACAAGAUAAUUUCAUAAACAAAUAACAAAUUUAC
rnacentral:lncRNA from 1 species